rnacentral:rRNA from 1 species
AACGAACGCUGGCGGCAGGCCUAACACAUGCAAGUCGAACGCCGUAGCAAUACGGAGUGGCAGACGGGUGAGUAACGCGUGGGAACAUACCCCUCGGUUCGGAAUAACUCAGGGAAACUUGAGCUAAUACCGGAUACGUCCGAGGUUUUAAUCGACCUUGGAGAAAGAUUUAUCGCCGGAGGAUUGGCCCGACGUCUGACUAGCUUGUUGGUGAGGUAA